rnacentral:lncRNA from 1 species
AAGCUGAGACUUCAAUCAAUGUCUCUUGACACCAAAUCAAUUUUUUUUCCAGUAUUCUAUAGAAGCUGCAUCUUUUGCUUCAAUUUUCUCUGGAGGCAGAAAUCAGAAAAAGAAUUCAAUCCAAGACAAUGACUGGUCUCAUGACACUCUACAAGACACCUUUCUUCAAGGUGGCACAGAGCUAUUAAUCAACAAACUAAGCCAAGCAGACUUCUACGUGCCAUGUGGCUGGAGGGCAUUCGGCUUUAAGAACUUCAAAGAUGCUUACCAAUAAAAUUGAUGCAAUCUAGAUUACAACAGUACCAUAAAUACGGCAGCUGGAUUCACAGUGAACAUGGCCA